ensembl:lincRNA
GCUCUGCAGAGCGUGGCAGGCGACCUUGGCUCGCGCGUCUCCUCCCUCCGCGGAUGAUCGCGUCUAGGCCACCGCGGCCCAAGCAGGCGACUUCUACUUCAGCCAACCAGCACCGCCCUCCGCCCGGCCCCCUCGGGAAAUCUGCCUCCUCAUUGGCCGCUGGACAGAUAAGCGGGAUGGGAUUGGAGGGUUACCCAUUGGUGGGCUGUAUUGGAAUGCAACUAUUUGAAGUCGAGAUACGCACCCACUAAUUUUGUUGCUUCCUUAAAGAUGAAGGCUUAUGAGAGGAAGAGCACCUUACAGCUAUCAUCGUAUUCUCUACCCUACCUUGAGAACACUGGAAAGCCCUCCCUGCCGGUGCUGUCAGCCUGACUCUUCACCUGGAGCCCACCGCCUUUAGCAGACUGUACCACCAUCACCAUGGCAAGUACCACCUUUCAUUUAGUUGCUGCUGUCUCCAUAAUCUUUUGCCGCCCCACU